CGUCGAGAACAAGCUUGCUGUUGCGGGCGGCAUACAUCAUAGUCUCGAAUGUUAAACCAUUAUUCGAACCAUAAUUUCUUAAGUCAUUAGCAUCCAGAAUUUGUUGGGUAGUUAACUUUAACAACUUUACUCCUUUUAUAAACUCAAUACUUUUGAUAGCAGAUUUUGACUAGAAGACAUAACAACAAUCUAAAGUAGAUGGUUAGUCAAAUACACUUGCUAAUAUAGAAAUAGCUGCAUAAAGUUUUUAUUUCUAAUCUGAAUCUAAUUGAUCUUCGGGAGGAUUUACAUCAC
rnacentral:lncRNA from 1 species